UGGGGAAUAUUGCACAAUGGGCGCAAGCCUGAUGCAGCAACGCCGCGUGAACGAUGAAGGUCUUCGGAUCGUAAAGUUCUGUUGCAGGGGAAGAUAAUGACGGUACCCUGUGAGGAAGCCCCGGCUAACUACGUGCCAGCAGCCGCGGUAAUACGCAGGGGGCUAGCGUUAUCCGGAUUUACUGGGCGUAAAGGGUGCGUAGGUGGUCUUUCAAGUCGGUGGUUAAAGGCUACGGAUCAACCGUAGUUAGCCUCCGAAACUGGAAGACUUGAGUGCAGGAGAGGAAAGUGGAAUUCCCAGUGUAGCGGGGAAAUGCGUAGAUAUUGGGAGGAACACCAGUAGCGAAGGCGGCUUUCUGGACUGCAACUGACACUGAGGCACGAAAGCGUGGGUAGCAAACAGG
rnacentral:rRNA from 1 species